GACGUCGUGGAUAACGAAACAUUCCUCGUGAAGCUUACAGCAAGCGUAAGCGGGAGAGGUAGCGUCCGGAAUCACAAAUGCAUGUGAGGUUGCAUCUGUGACAUGUGCCAACGCCAUGACUAAUGACUAACAGGAUACUGUGACCUAAUCAGUCUUCUCGGCAGAGGAGCCACUUAGGCUAGCAGCAGUUGGAAGAAUGAGUUGGAGUUAAGCAGUGAAGAGGGAGGCAAGGGUGCUUUGCACAGAGGAACAGUUUGUGCAAAAGCCUGUGGGUAGGAGAGACAUGCAAGAGGGCGGGGCUGGCAGACCUACCACUAGGGAAGGUGGGCAGGAAAGGGGAAUCAAGUAGGUCAGCACCUUGCAGUUUCUUUCCUAGAGCAGUUGUUACCUCUCGUAAUUUAUGUAUGUUAUUUAUUGUUUGCCUUUGCCUGCUGCGUUGAGUUUCAACACUGGGUACAUACUGACCACCCAGAGAGCUUUAGAAUAUAGUUUCCUGCGCCCUAACAAAGACCAGAUGAAUCAGGAUCUCUGGGAUUGGACCUGGGAACUGGCGCUUCUUCAAAGUUCCCAGAUGAUUCUAAUGUACCUACAGUGUUGAGGAUCCCUGCCUCUUGGAUCAUGAGCUCCAUUUCAGCAGGGAACAAAUCCUGGGAUUCACAUAAGAAGCUGAUGUGGCGUUGCACACUCUGGAUCUGAUGCUCCAGGGACAUGGUAUCCAUGGCAACCGAGGCCUGGGCCUCACCUGGGGGGAAGAUGAUAAGAUUUUAUUUAUUUAUUCAUGAGAGACACACGGAGAGAGAGAG